UUAGAUAAAAAAAGCCCGUCAAAGGUAUUGGUCAUACCUUUGACGGGCUUCUAUUCAGUGGCCCGUCACUGGUAUCCCCUCACCUGUGACGGGCCGCCACCUGUGACGACUUUCAUUUACUGGCCCGUCACAGGUGAGGGGAUACCAGUGACGGGUUGGAAGCAAAACUCGUCACUGGUAUACCUGUGACGGAUUUU
rnacentral:SRP_RNA from 1 species